rnacentral:misc_RNA from 1 species
GUGUUUGGUUAAUUUGCUAAUGGACAUCCAAUUAUAUGGGCAUUUAGGGGAAAAUAAGAGUGAGGCUAAAGGAAUAGAAGGAAGAGGAUGUGCCUCUAGUACUCCUGUAAUCAUAGUUUCUAAACCAUUAGCUAAAGUGACCUAAAAAGUGUAUGAGGAGACAUAAGGUUAGAGAAAAAUUUUAUUACCAGAGAUAUUAUCGAAAGCACCAGAAUCAGGAAUCUAUGGUCUAAUGGAUAAAGAUUGGGUUAGAAAGGAAUUACCAGGAAAGGAAUUACUAGGUUGAGCAGUAAAGGUAAUAGACGAGGAUGAUUGUUGUUUUG